rnacentral:rRNA from 1 species
UACGUAGGGGGCUAGCGUUGUCCGGAUUUAUUGGGCGUAAAGAGCGUGUAGGCGGCCAGGUAGGUCUGCUGUGAAAACUCGAGGCUUAACCUCGAGAUGUCGGCGGAAACCAUCUGGCUAGAGUCCGGAAGAGGAGAGUGGAAUUCCUGGUGUAGCGGUGAAAUGCGUAGAUAUUGGGAGGAACACCAGUGGCGAAGGCGGCUUACUGGACCGGUUCUGACGCUGAGGCGCGAAAGCGUGGGGAGCAAACGGG